AGGAAUUAGGGUUUCUUGCUCCUCUUCCAUAGCCCUAAACUCUAGACGCCCCCCGACAGCCUCCUUGCCCAUUUUAGUAGCCACCUGAGGGGGAUCCGCCGCGACCGCUGAUGAAUCUCUCGUUAUGGCCACCGUAUUUACCACCGCUUCCAUUCCCGUUUCCUCUGCCAUUACCUUUCCCUUUGUUCUUCCCGCGACCUCGAUCACCAUUCCUCCCUCGACCAUCUGCAUAAUUUGCUUCGGUGGGAGAUCGGUCCAAGAAUGCCAAAGAGAGGAACCAAGACCGACUGAUCGUGUAUGGCAGCAUAGGAGCGGCGUUCAUCAUACCCAAUCAGAAGGGAGGUCACGCCAUUGUUGUUCCAAGAGGUCUUCUUGUGCUGUUGUCUGGCUGAGGAAGGCAGUUUCCAGGGAGCGCCAAACUUCGUGAGAUGUCUUGGUAGAGAGGAUAGUGACGCCAAUUUCUUCGGUUAUUGCAAGCAUGAUACAGGUUAGUGCAAACUUGUCUCUAGAUACCCAUUGUAGAUGCUCUGGAUUUUGUGUGUCACUGCCAUUUGGUUCUUUGACAGUUUUGCUGGGCUCUAGUACUCGUCCUUCAGCGUAGGACAAAAGGCCAUAGGUUUCGAGUAAGGGACUCAUAAUGCCCUUCCAGAAUAUAUAGUUCCAACCAUUCAAUUUGACUUGAACAAAGGGAAUAGAGGAGGGAGGUUGAGAAUUGAAGUAGAGUCAACCAUAAUUGGUGUAAAGGUCAGGAGAAAAGGGAAGGAGAAAGUCGGGAAGAUGGAGAAGAGAGAUAGGUUAACUUGAUCUAGAUUGAUUGUAUAGAUCACUCGAUCGUUGGCUCUAAUACCAUCAAAGAUUUGUGAAUUUAGCUGAAACCUCAACUUGAUGUUUGAGGUGAAUUGUAUUGCAUUAUAUAGAACUGUACAUGAUGUGUAUAUGGAAAGAAAUAAAUACAUGAUUAUAAUACAACACCUCUACAAGGAAAGCUAGGAUUCGAUAUUACUCAUUAUUUCCUCUAUUAGAUGCUAGGGCUAACAUUGUCUUGUCUGGACCUUCAAACAGUGGGCUUUGGUCUCCAUUUCUAUGCACGCAAUUAAAUCAAGUUUUUUUCAUA